UUUUUUUUCUUUUUUUUUUUCCCUUGGGACAAUGAUAUUGCUUAUAAUAAUUCAGUCAUUUCAUUUCUAAAUUAUCUGAUUUUCACAAAACCACUGUCUGCUCUUCCCUUGUCUUACAGUCUGACCAUUCUGUAAAUCAUUGUGUCUUUGUUUUGAUAGAGGCUGUAUUUGUGAAGAAACCUUUGUAAUCAAAUGGUCUUUAUUGUAGGCUACAGUUGGACAAUGGUGAAAGACAUGGCUCAGCUAUGCAGUGCACUCUCUCAGCCUGUCACAUUCCCUGUACGGGCAGCAUUAGUACGGCAGUCAGCGCCUGAGCUUUGCUGGUUGAUAGACCAGUCAGACCAGUACAGCCUCACUGUUUGGACAGGCAAACAGGAUGUGUAUUCUGUAGAAGAUUUGCUUUUCAUCCGUGAAAACUUUGAUAAAAGUAGGGUUUAUUAUGACAUCUCAGAACCACAAAAUUCUGAGUUUAAAAAGGCGAUAGGAAUAGAAUGUUAAAUAUGAAGCCUACAGGGUUUGAAAUGACCUCAUUUAUAAUAUUUGGUUUCUUUAAACUUGAAAGGGAAGUGUAUUUUCCUUCACAAAUGGACUGUGUAGAACACACCCAUGGUCAUUGAAAUAGUUCUUGUAUAAUUUUCUUAAAAGGUUUUCCAAACAGAAAUGCAGUGCCUCUUUAAUAGGUCAGUAUUGUUACUUACUCAUCACAUGCAUGUUCUCUGCCAUUUCUCUCAGUGGGAUCUAGCACUUGUUUCCUGCAAGCAUAUAAAGGGGAGAACAACCCUGGUUUCUAGUUGUAGACCAAGGUAAUUUGCCACCAACAGCUUUUGUGUGAGUCUGUCAAGAACCGUUCAGUGUCUGUCAAGGAAAAUCAUUCAUAUUUUAUACAGGAGGACAGCGAGACUGUAGUAGGUACAGCACUGUGCAAUUCCUCAGAGGGAUUAUUUUGUAGCUCAUUCUCAUCUGCUCCAUUUCUGCUGCUAUCAUAGUGGGUAAUUUUCUCACUUCUCAUCAUAGAAGAUUCUAUUUAUGAGAUGUGAAAUGUAGAAUCCAUUAUAUUACCACAAACUGUUUUUUCUGUUUUUUGUCGGUUGGUUUUUGGGGUUUUUUGUUUGCUUGUUUUUUGUUUUUUUGGAAGGGUUAGGGGGAAAGAUACCAGAGUAUUAUGAAAUACUUCCUAUGCUACAUUCAAA